rnacentral:rRNA from 1 species
UACGUAGGUGGCAAGCGUUGUCCGGAUUUACUGGGCGUAAAGGGCGCGUAGGCGGCCUGCUAAGUCGAACGUGAAAUCCCCGAGCUCAACUCGGGAACUGCGUCCGAUACUGACAGGCUUGAAUCCGGGAGGGGGAUGCGGAAUUCCAGGUGUAGCGGUGAAAUGCGUAGAUAUCUGGAGGAACACCGGUGGCGAAGGCGGCAUCCUGGACCGGCAUUGACGCUGAGGCGCGAAAGCGUGAGGAGCAAACAGG